rnacentral:rRNA from 1 species
CCUACGGGAGGCAGCAGUGAGGAAUCUUCGUCAAUGGACGGAAGUCUGAACCAGCCAUGCCGCGUGCAGGAUGACGGCUCUCUGAGUUGUAAACUGCUUUUUUACAAGGGUACAUCUGAAUAAGUGUCUUUAGCCGACAGUACUGUACGUAUAAGGAUCGUCUAACUCCGGGCCAGCAGCCGCGGUAAUAAGGAGGAUGCAAGCGUUAUCCGGAAUUAUUGGGUUUAAAGGGUGCCGAGGCGGAUUGAUAAGUUAGAUGUGAAAUGGCCGAGCUUAACUCGGGAGGGGCAUCUAAUACUGUUGAUCUAGAGAGUAGAUGCGGUAGGCGGAAUGUAUGGUGUAGCGGUGAAAUGCUUAGAGAUAAGACAGAACACCGAUUGCGAAGGCAGCUUACCAAUCUAUAUCUGACGUUGAGGCGCGAAAGCGUGGGGAGCAAACAGGAUUAGAUACCCUAGUAGUC